UCCACUUUUGGCUUCCUCCACCGACGAGGUCACCGACGUCAACUAGAGGCCUUCCUUCAAUAGGCGAAGGCCAACCACCCUUUUACAGUUUCACUCCUUUUGACGGGCUUAGGAGACAACCCUUACAGAAAUUUCUCUCCUCUCUUUACAACUCAGAACUUGGAAGAACAGAGGGAGAAGAACUUUUGGCCUUUACAACAAUUUUGAGCUCUUAGAAUCACA
rnacentral:lncRNA from 1 species